AUACAGAGGGUGCGAGCGUUAAUCGGAAUUACUGGGCGUAAAGCGCGCGUAGGCGGCUUGGUCAGUCGGAUGUGAAAGCCCUGGGCUCAACCUGGGAAUUGCAUUCGAUACUGCCAAGCUAGAGUAUGAGAGAGGGAAGUGGAAUUUCCGGUGUAGCGGUGAAAUGCGUAGAUAUCGGAAAGAACACCAGUGGCGAAGGCGACUUCCUGGCCCAAUACUGACGCUGAGGUGCGAAAGCGUGGGGAGCGAACAGCAUUAGAAACCCUAGUAGUCC
rnacentral:rRNA from 1 species